UAUUAAGAAUAUUAGAGAGCAACUUGCAGCAGUCAGAAUUUCACAUUAAGGGAACCAGCCAUUCCUGUGGAGGGCAGGAUGGAGUGACAACCUGUAUGCUCAUUCAACAUGCACUGAAUGAGAGCCAAGGAACGCUUUAUCGAAGCUUCUUCUUCCUUAUACAGACCUAGACAUAAUCAGAGGAACAGCUUGCUUAGAAAUCUGGAGUCCUGUUUUGCAAUAUAGUAACUAUAUGGCAUUAAGAAAAUCAGUUAGCCUGUUUGAACUUCAGUUUUCUAAUUUUCAAACAGAGAGAUGUGGUUACUGCAUCCAAUCACUGAGAUGACUGAAUUAUGAAGGGGCAAAUCUUAUCAGUCAGUUAAUCCACCAAGAUACCUCCUUUCCUGACUUCAGUCAGGGAUAUAAAUGGGGUAUCUUUAUCAAAACCCUACCCUCAAAUCUCAGGGAUCUACGAGAAUAAGAGCUAGAAAUAUUCUAAGACCCAGAAGAGAUAGAUAACAUCAGACAAACCACAUCUACCGGACAACAAGAACUGAUCGAUCCAUCUAUGAACUCCUAGAGACUGUGGAAGCACUCACAAGACCUGAACAAGUCCAACCAGACAAAAGCCCAGCACUGAGAAGGUGGAGUAGACACAAAGUUCCAGCUCUAAUCAAGAAGCAGUCUGUAACUGAUAACUGCUAGAAAAAGUAAAAUUAGUUUUCUCGUCUUUUUGAGAAAUGGUGAGACCACAUUGUCCCAGCAAAGAAGCAGAGCUGAUGUCUGGAAAUACUACACCAGGCAGAAACCUGGCCCUACACCUAGAUGAGAAGCUGGAGCUGAAACUGUGCUUUGUUAAAACUGAAGACAAGUUUAGCAAAUCUUGGGUUCGGCUCUCCCUGUGUCUCCAUAGAAUAUCAUGGCAAACACGCUCCAGGAGAGUGUGGAGACUUCAGUUCUCUGGAACUUCUCCAUAUUUGGCAUGGUCAUUCUUUGAACUUCAGACAUCUUACAAGGUGCCAUGGUAUCUUGUCAUUUUCAUUGAUGUCCUUCUGAUGAUUAAUGCUAUCAAGAAUUUUUGUGUCCCUAUUUGUCA
rnacentral:lncRNA from 1 species